UACGUAGGGGGCAAGCGUUGUCCGGAAUUACUGGGCGUAAAGCGUGCGCAGGCGGUUCGCCAAGUCAGGUGUGAAAUCCCCGGGCCUAACCUGGGAACUGCAUUUGUGACUGCAUAGCUAGAGUUUGUCAGAGGGGGGUGGAAUUCCACGUGUAGCAGUGAAAUGCGUAGAUAUGUGGAGGAACACCGAUGGCGAAGGCAGCCCCCUGGGAUGUGACUGACGCUCAUGUACGAAAGCGUGGGGAGCAAACAGG
rnacentral:rRNA from 1 species